rnacentral:rRNA from 1 species
UUAUCGGAUGUGCGUCCAAGCAGCAAGUCUGUCGGCGAGUCAAAUGCUUGCCGGCUCAAGGACAAGCUGUGACGGGUAUGAACGAUUUAUCGUUCUAAGUGAGUGACGUCACACUGCCAAGAAAAGCUUCUAGUUAGAAUCAGACCGCCCGUACCGCAAACCGACACAGGUAGUCGGGUCGAGAAGACCAAGGUGAGCGAGAGAACUCUCGUUAAGGAACUCGGCAAAAUGACCCCGUAACUUCGGGAGAAGGGGUGCUGAUCGCAAGAUCAGCCGCAGUGAAUAGGCCCAGGCGACUGUUUAUCAAAAACACAGGUUUCUGCAAAAUCGUAAGAUGAAGUAUAGGGGCUGACGCCUGCCCGGUGCUGGAUGGUUAAGAGGAUGGGUUAGCGUAAGCGAAGCUCAGAAUUGAAGCCCCAGUAAACGGCGGCCGUAACAAUAACGGUCCUAAGGUAGCGAAAUUCCUUGUCGGGUAAGUUCCGACACGCACGAAAGGCGUAACGAUCUGGGCACUGUCUCAACGAGAGACUCGGUGAAAUUAUAAUACCCGUGAAGAUGCGGGUUACCCGCGACAGGACGGAAAGACCCCAUGGAGCUUUACUGUAGCUUGAUAUUGGGUGUUUUGUACAACUUGUACAGGAUAGGUAGGAGCCGUAGAAGUCGGGACGCUAGUUUCGACGGAGGCAUCGGUGGGAUACUACCCUCGUUGUAUGAACACUCUAACCCACGCCGGCAAUCACGGCGGGAGACAGUGUCAGGUGGGCAGUUUGACUGGGGCGGUCGCCUCCUAAAAGGUAACGGAGGCGCCCAAAGGUUCCCUCAGAAUGGUUGGAAAUCAUUCGCAGAGUGUAAAGGCAUAAGGGAGCUUGACUGCGAGACCUACAAGUCGAGCAGGGACGAAAGUCGGGCUUAGUGAUCCGGUGGUUCCGCAUGGAAGGGCCAUCGCUCAACGGAUAAAAGCUACCCUGGGGAUAACAGGCUUAUCUCCCCCAAGAGUCCACAUCGACGGGGAGGUUUGGCACCUCGAUGUCGGCUCAUCGCAUCCUGGGGCUGUAGUCGGUCCCAAGGGUUGGGCUGUUCGCCCAUUAAAGCGGUACGCGAGCUGGGUUCAGAACGUCGUGAGACAGUUCGGUCCCUAUCCAUCGCGGGCGCAGGAAAUUUGAGAGGAUCUGUCCUUAGUACGAGAGGACCGGGAUGGACAUACCGCUGGUGUACCAGUUGUUCUGCCAAGGGCAUCGCUGGGUAGCUAUGUAUGGAUGAGAUAAACGCUGAAAGCAUCUAAGUGCGAAACUCACCUCGAGAUAAGAUUUCCCACCCCUUUAUGGAGUUAAGACCCCUGAGAGAUGAUCAGGUAGAUAGGAUGGAAGUGGAAGUGCGGCGACGCAUGGAGCGGACCAUUACUAAUCGGUCGAGGACUUAACCGU